AAUGGAGAACAUUUACAGAGGACUGUGGGUAAAGCAAAGUCUUCAAGGGAAGAUAACAAAGGAUGAAACAAUGGUGUUGUGUGACUUCCUAGUAAAAUCUACUGGUGGAGUCACUCCAUUAUUCUUAUCUGUGGAGAUCUAGAUCUUGAUUUGAAAGUUUCUGAGAAAAUCUUCAGCUCAGACUUGAGGGUCAACUUUACCAGCUGAAGGAUCUGCAUUUACUGCUCAACCACAUCUAAUUUGAUGUCCUCUGCAGAUUUAAAAUGUGUGCCUUCUUUUCCGUCACCAAGUCAUCCCUGGGUUACUACUGAACAUCCUUCUCAAUUCCCCCCGACCCAUGGAUGGCUGUUCUCCAUUGUCUGUUUCACCAGAUGUCCUCAAAACAAACAGACAGAAGAAGGAAGUGGCUAAUGUGAUGGGCUGUUGCCAGCUUCUACUUACUGCCCCAGUCCCAGCAUGGACUGAGUAUUUGCUCUGAGAAAGCAGUUCCUCACAUGUCAUCUGAAAUGAGUAUCAAUGUGGACUUCUGACAUACUGGUUUAGCCUUUUUUGAGCUGUGGAGUCCAAGUGUGACUGCCAAGAGGAAUCCAGCAAAGCCAAAAAGCCCAAGCAUGUAGCCCUGCCCGAAGCACGCCACACGCAUGGAAAACCCAGAGGAAAUGAGUGAGGAUCAAUGGGAAGAAGAGAGCCAGCCAGGUUCGAUGCCUUCUCCAUCCGUCAGUGAGGGUGUGGAGAGCCUGCAGGCGUGUGCCUCCCUCUGUAACUUGCUAUUCCUUGUGUAAUGUCAAGUGGAAGUGUGAAGCACCACAAACUGCUCUGAGCAGAGCCCACUUCCCUUCACCCACGGAGAGCGUGAAGCAGUUACACCAACAUCAAUCAAGGAAAACCCACAGGCUGAGCUCACACGGUUGAAGCAGGAAGUUGAAGAUUUGUCCAGGAGCAGAUAGCUGAAGAGAGAGAGAGAGAAGAGAGAACGGCUUACAGCUCAGUUCUGGAGACCAGAAGGCCAAAAUCAAAAGUAUGGGCAGGCUUGAUUUCUUUAGAAGACUCCAGCGGAGAACUGUGUCUCCUUGCUUCUGAUUCUACAUCUCCAUCCAUGGGCCACUGUUUCAGCAACCUCAGCCAGUGCAACACAACCUCAGCCAAGAAGAGUAUGCAGAGAAAGGAGUCCCCUACCUGCCACAAAACUGUUGUCUGAAAACUGUCUCAUAUUGUCUCAAGUUGUCAUUCAUUGUGAAUUAGACCUGUUUAACAUGUAAUCUGCAACAUGC
rnacentral:lncRNA from 1 species